rnacentral:rRNA from 1 species
GACGAACGCUGGCGGCGUGCUUAACACAUGCAAGUCGAACGGAAAGGCCCUGCUUGCAGGGUACUCGAGUGGCGAACGGGUGAGUAACACGUGGGUGAUCUGCCCUGCACUUCGGGAUAAGCUUGGGAAACUGGGUCUAAUACCGGAUAGGAGCCAUCUUUAGUGUGGUGGUUGGAAAGUUUUUUCGGUGUAGGAUGAGCUCGCGGCCUAUCAGCUUGUUGGUGGGGUAAUGGCCUACCAAGGCGGCGACGGGUAGCCGGCCUGAGAGGGUGUACGGCCACAUUGGGACUGAGAUACGGCCCAGACUCCUACGGGAGGCAGCAAUGAGGAAUAUUGCACAAUGGGCGCAAGCCUGAUGCAGCGACGCCGCGUGGGGGAUGAAGGCCUUCGGGUUGUAAACUCCUUUCGCUAGGGACGAAGCUUUGUUGUGACGGUACCUAGAUAAGAAGCACCGGCUAACUACGUG